rnacentral:rRNA from 1 species
UACGUAGGGCGCAAGCGUUUGUCCGGAAUUAUUGGGCGUAAAGAGCUCGUAGGCGGUUUGUCGCGUCUGCUGUGAAAACUCGAGGCUCAACCUCGGGCUUGCAGUGGGUACGGGCAGACUAGAGUGCGGUAGGGGUGACUGGAAUUCCUGGUGUAGCGGUGGAAUGCGCAGAUAUCAGGAGGGAACACCGAUGGCGAAGGCAGGUCUCUGGGCCGCAACUGACGCUGAGGAGCGAAAGCAUGGGGGAGCGAACAGG